rnacentral:rRNA from 1 species
GUGGGGAAUAUUGCGCAAUGGGGGAAACCCUGACGCAGCGACGCCGUGUGAGGGAAGAAGGCUUUCGGGUCGUAAACCUCUGUCAGAAAGGAAGAACCUCCCAAGUCCGAAUAGGGCUUGGGACUGACGGUACUUUCAAAGGAAGCACCGGCUAACUCCGUGCCAGCAGCCGCGGUAAUACGGAGGGUGCAAGCGUUAAUCGGAAUCACUGGACGUAAAGCGCGCGUAGGCCGCUUUGUAAGUCGGACGUGAAAGCCCUCGGCUCAACCGGGGAACUGCGUUCGAUACUGCGAGGCUUGAGUCCUGGAGAGGGUGGCGGAAUUCCGGGUGUAGGAGUGAAAUCCGUAGAUAUCCGGAGGAACACCGGUGGCGAAGGCGGCCACCUGGACAGGUACUGACGCUGAGGCGCGAAAGCGUGGGGAGCAAACAGGAUUAGAAACCCCUGUAGUCC